ACGGCUCAGUAACACGUGGACAACCUACCCAAAAGUCCGGGAUAACCCCGGGAAACUGGGGAUAAUACCGGAUAGAUCAUCUGUGCUGGAAGGCUGGGUGGUUGAAACUUCCGGGGCUUUUGGAUGGGUCUGCGGCUGAUUAGGUUGUUGCCGGUGUAACGUACCGUCAAGCCUGUAAUCAGUACGGGUUGUGGGAGCAAGAGCCCGGAGAUGGAUUCUGAGACACGAAUCCAGGCCCUACGGGGCGCAGCAGGCGCGAAAACUCUACAAUGCAGGCAACUGCGAUAGGGGAACAUCGAGUGAUCCUCAUAUUGGGGGUCUGUCCACCCGUCUAAAAAACGGGUGUUAGCAAGGGCCGGGCAAGACCGGUGCCAGCCGCCGCGGUAAUACCGGCGGCUCGAGUGGUGGCCGAUAUUAUUGAGUCUAAAGGGUCCGUAGCCGGCUUUGCAAGUCUCUCGGGAAAUCCAGCGGCUUAACCGUUGGUCGUCCGGGGGGUACUACAUUGCUUGGGACUGGGAGAGGUAGGAGGUACUCAGGGGGUAGGAGUGAAAUCCUGUAAUCCUUUGGGGACCACCGGUGGCGAAGGCGUCCUACCAGAACAGGUCCGACGGUGAGGGACGAAAGCUAGGGGCACGAACCGGAUUAGAUACCCGGGUAGUCCUAGCCGUAAACGAUGCUCGCUAGGUGUCACAACAGUCGUGAACUGUUGUGGUGCCGUAGGGAAGCCGUGAAGCGAGCCACUUGGGAAGUACGACCGCAAGGUUGAAACUUAAAGGAAUUGGCGGGGGAGCAC
rnacentral:rRNA from 1 species